GAUCAUGACUCAGGACGAACGCUGGCGGCGCGCCUAACACAUGCAAGUCGAACGAGCGAGAGAGAGUUUACUUUUUCGAGCGAGUGGCGAACGGGUGAGUAACGCGUGAGGAACCUGCCUCAAAGAGGGGGACAACAGUUGGAAACGACUGCUAAUACCGCAUAAGCCCACGGCUCGGCAUCGAGCAGAGGGAAAAAGGAGCAAUCCGCUUUGAGAUGGCCUCGCGUCCGAUUAGCUAGUUGG
rnacentral:rRNA from 1 species